rnacentral:lncRNA from 1 species
UCAUGCGAAACUCCUUUCGCUGGAAGGACGUCUCCCGCAGCACUCGUCGCUGUGCACCCUGCAACCGCUGGCCGCGGCCAGCGCGUACAGCAGUGGGGUGUCUUGUCUGUUUAGUGGUCCCGGGCUUCCCUGGACCUCUGGGGACCGUGGGUCACUGUGCCCAGCGACUGCCUGCACAGGUCGCUGAGUCGUUGAAAGGACAGCGUCCUUCGAGAUGAGAACCCCGCGGUUCUGAGGAGGAAGUGACCCGGCCCAGAGACACACACAGGUCGUAAGUGGCAGAGCCCUGCCUAGAAUCGAGGCAUGUCUCCAAGUUCACUGCAGCCAAAAUUAAUUUCCUAGAGGCAAACCCUGGCCAAAGCCCUUGCCAUGGUCCCUCUUUCUCCAAGAAAACCCACAGUCAAAGUGUGAAAUAAGUCAACUUCAAGUGCCAUAAAUUCCAUAAUAAUA